rfam:Desulfosporosinus sp. I2 contig00112, whole genome shotgun sequence.
AAAGUCCUUGCUGGGUAAGGUCUAGCCAACCACCCAUAUCGAGUGUUGCGUCGAAACUGGUAACAGUAAGGCGAAGCGUACACAGAGAACUAUAUAGGCCACGGGGAGAACCGUAACUCCUGAAGCAUAUUCAGCCCCGUUAGCGCGUGUCCGAAAGGACAAAGAGCAGAUGGCAACGUGUUUAACGUCACGGAAGCCCAAGCAAAGAAACCGAUCUAUUGGCAAGGUUUCGGAGGGUCUGUCGGGGUCAGAGAACG